UACAGAGGCCUCGAGCGUUAGGCGGAAUCACUGGGCUUAAAGCGUGUGUAGGCGGACUUCUAAGUACCUUGUGAAAUCCCACGGCUCACCCGUGGAACUGCUUGGUAUACUGGUUGUCUUGAGCCUUCUAGGGGCGAGUGGAACAAAUGGUGGAGCGGUGAAAUGCGUAGAUAUCAUUUGGAACGCCAAUGGUGAAAACAGCUCGCUGGGGAUGUACUGACGCUGAGACACGAAAGCCAGGGGAGCAAACGGG
rnacentral:rRNA from 1 species